UCCAGACUCCUACGGGAGGCAGCAGUGGGGGAUAUUGCACAAUGGGGGAAACCCUGAUGCAGCGACGCCGCGUGGGUGAAGAAGCGCCUCGGCGCGUAAAGCCCUUUCAGCAGGGAGGAAAAUGACGGUACCUGUAGAAUAAACUCCGGCUAACUACGUGCCAGCAGCCGCGGUAAUACGUAGGGAGCAAGCGUUAUCCGGAAUUAUUGGGUGUAAAGGGUGCGUAGACGGGACAGCAAGUUAGUUGUGAAAGCCCUCGGCUUAACUAAGGAACUGCAACUAAAACUAUUGUUCUUGAGUGCAGGAGAGGAAAGCGGAAUUCCUAGUGUAGCGGUGAAAUGCGUAGAUAUUAGGAGGAACACCAGUGGCGAAGGCGGCUUUCUGGACUGUAACUGACGUUGA
rnacentral:rRNA from 1 species